rnacentral:rRNA from 1 species
AGUGAACGCUGGCGGUAGGCCUAACACAUGCGAGUCGAACGGCAGCACAGUAAGAGCUUGCUCUUACGGGUGGCGAGUGGCGGACGGGUGAGGAAUACAUCGGAAUCUACUUUUUCGUGGGGGAUAACGUAGGGAAACUUACGCUAAUACCGCAUACGACCUACGGGUGAAAGCAGGGGAUCUUCGGACCUUGCGCGAUUGAAUGAGCCGAUGUCGGAUUAGCUAGUUGGCGGGGUAAAGGCCCACCAAGGCGACGAUCCGUAGCUGGUCUGAGAGGAUGAUCAGCCACACUGGAACUGAGACACGGUCCAGACUCCUACGGGAGGCAGCAGUGGGGAAUAUUGGACAAUGGGCGCAAGCCUGAUCCAGCCAUACCGCGUGGGCGAAGAAGGCCUUCGGGUUGUAAAGCCCUUUUGUUGGGAAAGAAAAGCAGCAGGUUAAUACCCCGCUGUUCUGACGGUACCCAAAGAAUAAGCACCGGCUAACUUCGUG